UAUCCGCCUGUGUCGCGUCUCGUCCAACACUGCACUGUCGUGACUUGAUCAUUCAAUGAUGAAUUGUACGGUAGGUUCAGCCAUUCCUUGAUCGACCUGACACCAGCAUUAGGCCUACUCGAUGUGUAUGAAGCAAGCUGCCUCUGCAUCAAGUGAGGGAAGAAGCCGCCACUGAAAAGCUUUUUGGACUGUCAUUUGAAGGACACAAAUGAAAGGACAGGAAUUCUGCUCUGCGGCGUUGGCCUCACUAUUUAUUCAAGAAGCCCUUGGACACCACCAGAAUGUAUGAAAAUUGUAAACAGUAGGCACAGUCAUUCCUUGAUCGACCUGGCAUCAACAUCGCUUGAUGUGUAUGAAGCUGCAAGUGAGAGAAGAAGCCGCCACUGAACACCUUUUUGGACUGUCAUGACUCAAAUGAAAGGACAGGACUUCUACUCUGCUGGGUCGACCUCACUACAUAUUCAAGAAGCCCUCGGACGUCAUCAGAAUGUAUUAA